AACGAACGCUGGCGGCAUGCCUAACACAUGUAAGUCGAACGAGACCUUCGGGUCUAGGGCGCACGGGUGCGUAACGCGUGGGAACCUGCCCUUAGGUUCGGAAUAACUCCCCGAAAGGGGUGCUAAUACCGGAUAAUGUCUUCGGACCAAAGAUUUAUCGCCUUUGGAUGGGCCCGCGUUGGAUUAGCUAGUUGGUAGGGUAAAAGCCUACCAAGGCGACGAUCCAUAGCUGGUCUGAGAGGAUGAUCAGCCACACUGGGACUGAGACACGGCCCAGACUCCUACGGGAGGCAGCAGUGGGGAAUAUUGGACAAUGGGCGAAAGCCUGAUCCAGCAAUGCCGCGUGAGUGAUGAAGGCCUUAGGGUUGUAAAGCUCUUUUACCCGGGAUGAUAAUGACAGUACCGGGAGAAUAAGCUCCGGCUAACUCCGU
rnacentral:rRNA from 1 species